rnacentral:rRNA from 1 species
GAAAGGAGUAAUCCGCUGAUAGAUGGGCUUGCGUCUGAUUAGUUAGUUGGUGGGGUAACGGCCUACCAAGACUACGAUCAGUAGCCGGACUGAGAGGUUGAACGGCCACAUUGGGACUGAGAUACGGCCCAGACUCCUACGGGAGGCAGCAGUCGGGAAUAUUGCGCAAUGGAGGAAACUCUGACGCAGUGACGCCGCGUAUAGGAAGAAGGUUUUCGGAUUGUAAACUAUUGUCAUUAGGGAAGAUAAAAGACUGUACCUAAGGAGGAAGCCCCGGCUAACUAUGUGCCAGCAGCCGCGGUAAUACAUAGGGGGCAAGCGUUAUCCGGAAUUAUUGGGUGUAAAGGGUGCGUAGACGGAAGAACAAGUUGGUUGUGAAAUCCCUCGGCUCAACUGAGGAACUGCAACCAAAACUAUUCUCCUUGAGUGUCGGAGAGGAAAGUGGAAUUCCUAGUGUAGCGGUGAAAUGCGUAGAUAUUAGGAGGAACACCAGUGGCGAAGGCGACUUUCUGGACGAUAACUGACGUUGAGGCACGAAAGUGUGGGGAGCAAACAGGAUUAGAUACCCUGGUAGUCCACGCUGUAAACGAUG